ACGAAGGUGGCAAGCGUUGUUCGGAUUUACUGGGCGUACAGGGAGCGUAGGCGGUUUGGUAAGCCCUCCGUGAAAUCUUCGGGCUCAACCCGGAAAGUUCAGAGGGGACUGCUCGGCUAGAGGAUGGGAGAGGAGCGCGGAAUUCCCGGUGUAGCGGUGAAAUGCGUAGAUAUUGGGAGGAACACCAGUGGCGAAGGCGGCUCACUGGACCGGUUCUGACGCUGAGGCGCGAAAGCGUGGGGAGCAAACGGGA
rnacentral:rRNA from 1 species